rnacentral:rRNA from 1 species
UACGGGGGGAGCAAGCGUUGUUCGGAUUUACUGGGCGUAAAGGGCGCGUAGGCGGCCCGCUAAGUCGAACGUGAAAUCCCCGGGCUCAACCCGGGAACUGCGUCCGAUACUGGCAGGCUUGAAUCCGGGAGAGGGAUGCGGAAUUCCAGGUGUAGCGGUGAAAUGCGUAGAUAUCUGGAGGAACACCGGUGGCGAAGGCGGCAUCCUGGACCGGCAUUGACGCUGAGGCGCGAA